ACCAGUCAGACCUGGAUUUUCAGAACAGGAUCUUUUCCUUUCCCCGGUGGUCUUGGCUUUCAUGAUGAUCGAGAGGCAAAAAAUGAGGGAAGUUUCGGACAGACACUCACAGCAUGUAAAGCUAGGGGAGAGGAAGUAAGGAAGGAAGUGAGAGAGAAGCUGGGUGAUCAUCUGGCAGCCAGCCAAAGUCAAACCCCACAAUUACUGUCUCCAAGGCCAGACUAGAGAAAAAAAGUGCAAAAGUGCUUUGAAUAUGAAAUGCACAUGCCUUAAGGAAGAAACACAGGAUUACUUUGUGCAUGACCUAUUACUACACCUGAGGACUUGAAGAGUUGCAGAAUUGAAUCAUCUCUCUCUGAAUCCUCUGAAUGAUAUUUGCCUGCAGAGUGGACAGUUUCCUGCAACACAUACUGGAAGAAGAGCAAUAUACUCUACUUUAUGGAUUGCAACAAGAGUAUUAAAUGUACAUUUAGAAGAAAGCAGACAUUGCCUAGCAGGGUUCAGUUAGGCAAAAGAGCACUUUUUAAUUUAUAUGGAAAGUGAAAUAACAGAUUUACUUAUUUUCUUAGGUACUUUGAUGGUCUGGGUUUGUAUGCCCAAGACACACUUUCAAAAUCUGAGUUAAACUCAAGGCUAAAUGUUUUUCCCAAGUGAUCAAGAUCUACAAUGGACACCAGUUUUCAAAAAUCCUCUGAAGCACCUAAAGAACUUUUCAAGGUGUCUGCAACACCCUGAGCAGUUAAAGCAAGAAUCACAUUUU